rnacentral:lncRNA from 1 species
CCCCUACCUAGGUUCUUUUCCUGUUGCUACUUGGAUACAGCAAGACACAAAGCAGUCCUUCUGGCCCACGAAAAGAUGCAGGUCCUGAUUCCACUGGACCUGUCUUAUAAAACUGCGGAGCAGUGGGAGAGAGAGUGCCGCUCCAAGCAGCUUGUGAAGUGACUGGGGUCUGCUCAGUGUGGCGAAGUCUGGGAAGGCUGUGGAACACCACCGCUCCAGUAGCUGUGAAAACAUGAAGACCAAGUGUGAGAAUGUGACACACUGAAUCAGCCCACUGCAGACAGGCAGCUCUAUGGACUCCAUAGCAACAUCACCAGUUGCACGGAAUGCGCUGAAUCAGCCCAUGUCCCUGCAGCAAUCCACUGGACACCCUCUCCCCCCACUCCUCUGUACAGCCACCUGGUUCCACACUACAAAGACACAGAGGGCACUGAACCACCAGACCACUGUACUAGGGUCUCCGUUGACUUACCCCCGGGCCGGGACAAGUGGCGCCCAACGUGGGGCCAGAGACCGGGGGAUCCAGUGAAGAACGCUGCUCGG